rnacentral:lncRNA from 1 species
AGGUUUCAGAUCUAUUAUGAGGUUACAAGGGGCAUUUGAUGUCCUACUUUGUGUUGUCUUCUUGAUUACUCUUAAAAAAUCUAUAAGAAUCUAAUUCUUCGGGCCCCAACUUGAAUCAAUUUCUUUCUUCGAAUAGUUGGUGAAGCUGUUCAUUACUUAUUUUGAUAAUAACCAGAUCCAUAUGAAAAAUACUAACAAUCUUUUUACUAUCAAAUAACAGGAGGGUG